rnacentral:rRNA from 1 species
UAGGGAAUCUUCCACAAUGGACGCAAGUCUGAUGGAGCAACGCCGCGUGAGUGAAGAAGGCUUUCGGGUCGUAAAACUCUGUUAUUGAAGAAGAACGUGUGUGACAGUAACUGGUCAUGCAGUGACGGUAUUCAAUCAGAAAGUCACGGCUAACUACGUGCCAGCAGCCGCGGCAAUACGUAGGUGGCAAGCGUUGUCCGGAUUUAUUGGGCGUAAAGCGAGUGCAGGCGGUCUUUUAAGUCUGACGUGAAAGCCUUCGGCUUAACCGAAGAAGGGCAUCGGAAACUG